UGGGACCUGAAAAGAGUCUUCUAAUCACCCUGUGGUGGCUUGGAAAGGGCGAUACAUUAACUUCAAUUUCUGAUCGGUUUGAUGUAGCUUGUUCCACAGCUCAUCACUAUGCUAAUAUAUUAUUAGAAAGGCUUGUGGGUUUAUUACCAAAAAUUUAUUUCAUGGCCGAAUGAAGAAGAGUGGUUGACCAUUGAACAACAAUUUAGGGAAAUUUGUGGUUAUCCAGGGGUGAUUGGAGCUAUUGAUGGCUGCAAUAUAAAUUUCAAGGCUCCCCUGAAACAGCAAGAUAGCUAUAUUGAUAAAAAUUCAAACCAUAGCAUAAAGAUGCAACCUGUUGUUACUGCUAAAAGGAUAUUUACAAAUAUAAAUGUUGGAUUUCCGGGUUCAGUUCCUGACUCUAGGAUUUUUAAUAAUAGUAAGUUGUUCUUACAAACACAAGAAAAUAUCCAAAAAUAUUAUCCUUUAGAAGACUACCAUAUUUUAGGUGACAAGGCUUAUCCACUUUUAGGUUGGUUGUUGACGCCUUUUAAAGACUAUGGAAAUUUGAAUCAAAGGAAAACUAUGCACAACUUAAAACACAGUAAAACUAGAAUUCCAGUUGAACACACAUUCGGUAUAUUAAAAGGACGGUGGAGAAUAUUAAAAUAUAUAAAUGUAAAUUGUCCUAAAAAGGCAACAAAAAUCAUUGUUGCAUGCUGUGUCUUGCACAAUUACUGUUAUGAAAACCUGGAUGAAUGGACUGGUGAAAUAGAUGAAAAUGAUAAUGACAAUGAAGUUGGUAUAUUAAUCCAAAUUCAAAAUGAGAAUCUUGGAUUUUAUAAGAGAGAGCAAAUUUGUGACCUUUUUGUCUAAAGAAGAAAUGUUAGAAGUGUACAAAAGUGUAAUUAGCAACAUGUUAAAAAUCAAUGUAGAUAAGUAGAAUAAGAUAGAACGGUUAAUGUAAAUUAUGUUAAAUUUUAAACAGUUAAGAUAUAAAUGUUGAUAUUAAUGUUUGAAAAAAAUAUAGGACAAAUUAAGAAAAUAAAUAUAAAUAGAAUUUACAAAA
rnacentral:lncRNA from 1 species